AUAAAGGCAGAUGCAAGAGCAGCACGGCUACAUACUUCGAAAGUCAUCGAAAAGUGGGUCCUUACAGGACAGACUGAAGCCAGCAGUGCUGAUGUAAAUAGUCAGCUUUGACUGGUUCAUGCAGCUACACCCUGCCUAACACCUAGACCCUGUGAGAAGGAAGAGCAGAGGGGGGAGGAGAGAAGAAUUUCAGAAGUACCUGCAUCAGCAAAUCAUGCAGCCUGCAUCUGUACACGUGCAUGAUUAAUGCGAGAAUGUGUGUAAGAUUCGCAGCGUGGGAUGCGGAGUCGCUGUACUGACAAGCAUGCUCACCCUGCGCCACUGAGCCGGAGGUCGAGGGACAUUCCGUCUGAACCGCGGCUCCCUUCGCAAAUGCCACCACUGGGCUGCCAUUGGACAGUUCAGAUUGGGAGGCUGGGCUCUACGCCCCUUCCCAUCUCGUCCCACACUCGCUGACCAGACUCAAUCAGAUUUAGAGCCCAAAGAGCACAGGGAGGAUCUGAGAAGGGAUGGUGCAGCAUCACACCUGCACACCUAUAGUGAGAAACUUUCAGAGUUGCACCAUAAUCACAACCAAGCGCACCACACUACAACAACCAGCAGGGGUCAGCCACCUGUGGUGGGCUGAUGACUGUGAUGUAUCUCUUCCUGCUCCGGGUUUUGACCCUCAUCAAACAAUAGGGUGGCAGCUGGCUGAAAGGCCCAUCAACACCUCAGCUGGCCUUGACAGACAGCUCCACUCUGGGAAAUUAAAAACACACAUCCCACAGGAGAAACAGCACAGCAAGACCCAAUCAGACAGCCAUAAAUCACUGUGAAGGGAGUGUGAUUCACUUAUUAUGGCUGACGCUGUGAAGGAGAGUGCAAAGCUAACAGGAUGGGACAGCUUCCACGUGAAUUCAGAAGAGGGCCAAAUCUCACAACGUAAUUUUUUAAAAAUUCUGUAACAUGUUUUUGUAUACUGAUCAAUGGUCUCUCUCUUUCUUGUCCACAUGACACUUGUACAUUUUCCUUUCUCUAGUGCUGCUUGUUAAAAUCCCCCAUAUCUAGGCCUUAACAGUUAAUAUUCCUGCAGUCACACUUUACUCUGUUUGAUAAAUAAAGUAUAAAAGUAAAGCUUUAAUUUGAAAGAUGAAUGGACGGUGAACGGCGUGUUCCUGCUCCGAAGCCAGAGAGCCUCAGCAGACACAUUUUAAGAUACACUGGCUCGAGAAAGAAUUGAAGAAGCACUGAGGGCUUAAAGCAACAAACAUCUCUGAAGGAACAUGCAUUACUCUUAACCUGACAGAUUUGUGCUUUUCACUGUGGACAGAACACUGGCUCUGUCAGCUAGGGAACGAAAGCAAAGUGGGAAUAUCCUGGAUGGUUACUGUGCUUUUUUAGUGCCAUUGUGUUAAGUCUCUGGAAGUCUCCGUGCGGACUGGUGCCCAAACAUAAGAUAUUGCCGGUUAAUGGUAGAAAACGCUUGCUUGUAUUUAGUUGUGAAACACGAUGGAGAGCCUGGGAGAGCUAGAGUACCCUCUGCUGGGCAGCAGCCCCAAACAUGGCCCUAACGGACUGCUCAAGGGUAUUUUGGCAAGGAACGAAGAGGACGGUAUACUGCCUCCACUGACUUGGAGGGAUUAUUGCGCUCCACCUGAGUUUCACCAGCCGCAGUUCCUGGACCCAUGCUCCCUUCAAAACAUGCCUGAGCCCUUCUACACAGCAGGCCCGCUGUGGGGUGGUGCCGAUUCCCUCGGCAUGCAUAACAAGGACUACCUGGAGACCACCUUUAUGGACAUUAAUCCAGGGUUCCAGCUGGACAGGAAAAUCCUGGGGGGCGCGAGGGAUAGCCGUAGUGUGUCUUACAGCAUGGAGGAUGAGGAGGACCUGCUGCCGGACUAUGAGCGGCCAGAUUAUUCUGAAGAUGACUGGCGGCCGGCAUCCUCUCCCUGCCAUGACCCCCAGGACUCCUCCAGUGAGGACUACAGUGACACGGAGAGCCAGAGCAGCUUCUCCCUGAUGAUCCCGCAGGACCACCUGGGUCUCGCCUUCUUCUCCAUGCUGUGCUGCUUCUGGCCCCUGGGGAUCGCAGCCUUCUACCUUUCCCAGAAGACCAACAAGGCGGCUGCUCAGGGGGACUUCCAGGCAGCCAGCUCCGCCUCCCGCCAGGCACUUUGGCUUUCUGUGCUCGCCAUCAUCUUCGGCAUCCUGACGUACAUAUGUGCUGUCACCGCCCUCAUCUCCUACCUGUCUGGGAAGCCACCUUAGGGACCACUUACCCCUUUUCCCCAUCCCACCUCACCCCCCACACUCCCAGCCUGGCACUUCCUUUAAUAAAAACACACACCCUCCGCCCCCCUGAAUAUACCUGGUUAGAGUACGACGGAUUUGAACCUGGGAGCAAACAGAAGAGCACUGAUGCAUGACGAUUUGUGCUGCCACCUCUUCCCCCGCUUUCAAAAGUUCCAUCGCGAUGAUCACUAUGGACAGCAGCGUUUGAUAUACCACGGUAACCACGCGGCCACCUGCCUCUUGGCAACCUGGCAACAGUGGGCUUGACGAGGACCACGUUACAAACCACACGUUGAGGCGGGGGCAUGCCACAGUGAUAGCAUGGAUCCUUCCCUCCCCCCUUAAAAGCUGGCGGACACCCUAGAGUGAUAAAAGCGUGAGCAUCCUAAAUAAGACCAGCGUGGAUUCUGUCAGCGGCACAUUAGCAUGAGAAUCCAAACAAACCGCAUCGCGUAAGAAACAGAGAGAGGCAGCGUGACAGGGAUGGGAGAAUGACACUGAGCUGGCAGAACGAGGCCGCCAGCCGGCUGGAGUGGCACAGAAGCCAGCCACUAAUCCCCCAGCACUGGGAUCAUAUAUUAAGGAGUGCUGGGAAUGUCCCGUUGAUAAGCUUUUACUGGGAUUAGAAGAACUGUAACCUAAUUAAAAGCAGAUUUGUUUGAGAGCAGGAGCUGAAGAGACUGCCUCUUGAAUCUUAAUGUUUAAAUGUUGUGCUAUGAGAGGGGCUCACUUGUGAAAGUCCUGUCCUCCUCCACAUCCAGUCCUGAGAGUAAAUUCUAUCAACUGUAGCAUUCAAAUUGACUUUUCACAUAAUAGCUUAGUCACUGAGGGACAGGAACUUCUGUGCUCUUCUGCCCGAGUGGGGCCUGCGGGCGCCUGACCACAUGCUGACUCAGACGGCGGGGCUCGCGGUCAGCUAGCGUCAGCGGCACCCUGCUGUCUCCAGGAUGUCUGUGCCUCGUUCCUCCAGCUCUCUUCUGAACUGUCACUUCAGGUAUGUAGCUGCGUGACUGGAUUCCUGCCUGCGGUGGAGAUGGAACUCAAGGAACCUGACAAAGGGAGUAGCUGACAUUUCUGUGGGGACUGUGCCUCCCCAAGCUGCAGCCUAGGGCCACCUUUCAGGCGGCUGACAGCGCUCUGUAACACGUCUCUCUGGACAGAGAUACCAGCUUGGAGGCCCACUAUCGCUUCCCAAACACGACCAUUAUAUGAAGGGUAAAGGGACUCUUUUCAUGUGAUCACACCUCUCCACAGGAAUGGCAGCCCAAGUCACAUGACCUGCUGCAUCUGAACUGGUGAUGAGAUACAUCCAUUUUCACUGUCCUACUGGAGAAAGGCGUCUGACAUACACAGCUACAAUGUAGCACUCACACUCAGACUGAAAAGAACAGACUAUGUACCUGCUCAAGAAAAAGCAUGUAAAAAAAUUUAAGUAUCUUGAAAAGAUUGCAAAUAGGAAAACUGUCAAGACCAAGGAACCCCUGUGUUCAACGUUGUCUCUGUGUGAAGGAAUGACUGCGGCAUUCUUAU